rnacentral:rRNA from 1 species
CGCGUAGGCGGCUAUAUAAGUCGGAUGUGAAAGCCCACGGCUCAACCGUGGAAGUGCAUCUGAAACUGUAUGGCUUGAGUAUGGGAGGGGAAAGUGGAAUUCCCGGUGUAGAGGUGAAAUUCGUAGAGAUCGGGAGGAAUACCUGUGGCGAAGGCGACUUUCUGGCCCUUAACUGACGCUGAGACGCGAAAGCGUGGGGAGCAAACAGGAUUAGAUACCCUGGUAGUCC